UAUUAUUUUUGAUGUUAAUUAUUUAACCUGAGUAGUAAUAGAUAUGAUCUUGAAACUUAAAGAAUUUGGCAGUAUUUUAUUCUGUUUAGAGGAACCUGUUCUUUUAUCGAUAAUCCUCGUUGGACCUUACUUGAUUUAAUGAUUUGUAUACCGCCGUUGUAUUGAGAAUCUUUGUAGUGUUUUUAAUUUUCUGGAUUUUAUUUGAAAUUAUUUCAGGUCAAGGUGCAAUUUAUGAUUAAGUAGAAAUGGGUUACGUUUAUAUGUAUUUUUGGAUUAUUAAAUGAAAUUUUAGUGUGAAAUUGGAUUUGAAUGUAAUUAUUAUUUUAGAUUGUAGUAAUGAUUUAGUUUCUAGAGUGUGUACACAUCGCCCGUCACUCUCGUUAUUUAUUCGAG
rnacentral:rRNA from 1 species